UCCUCGCUCAUUCCUUGCUGUCUCUUUGCAAGGCAGCUCGAGUGCUGCCACAGAGAAACCAGCAGCUGUCCUGUGCCAGAGGUGUUUGUGUAACAACACACAAACACCUCUCACCACCUGCACAGGGAUGCGCUCAUGUCUGCUCCCUCCUGCUGCAGCAGCUUCUCAUGCAAAUGAGAUUUUUAGGAUUGGUAUAUCAACAUAAAACAGCAAGCAAGGCACAAUGUCUGAGAUAUCUCAUCAGCACAGGCAAACAAGCAGGCACAGUAAACCCCUCCCUGCUGUUUGCCCAAAAUACUUUGCUUGUAUCUCUGAAUAGAAUUCCUUGACGAUGCACUGCUGUGCAAUAUACCCUCCACUGCAGGAUCAACAGAUUCCUCUCUUCGUGCAGCCCUCCAACUCCAGAGGCGUUUCAAUAAAAACUGAACCACUGGCCGUGUUUUCCAAGGAAAGCAGGGUGUGAAGCCAUGAAUAAUGGAGCUGCUCAGUUUCCCCAGGAUAACAGUUCAUUUACAGUCUUUAUCCUGCUGCCUGUUAACUUUCAAUUGAAUAAGGGAGACACUGAUUUCA